AAUUGGAGGGCAAGUCUGGUGCCAGCAGCCGCGGUAAUUCCAGCUCCAAUAGCGUAUAUUAAAGUUGUUGCAGUUAAAAAGCUCGUAGUUGAAUUUCGGGAUCAGUACGUCGGUCGUGCCUUCGGUAUGCACUGGUGUCACUGGUUCCUCCCUUCUGACGAACCGUCAUGCCAUUAAUUUGGUGUGGCGGGAAAUCAGGACUGUUACUUUGAAAAAAUUAGAGUGUUUAAAGCAGGCUCACGCUUGAAUACAUUAGCAUGGAAUAAUGAAAUAGGACGUUGAUCUUAUUUUGUUGGUUUCUAGGAUUGACGUAAUGAUUAAUAGGGAUAGUUGGGGGCAUUAGUAUUCAAUUGUCAGAGGUGAAAUUCUUGGAUUUAUUGAAGACUAACUACUGCGAAAGCAUUUGCCAAGGAUGUUUUCAUUAAUCAAGAACGAAAGUUAGGGGAUCGAAGACGAUCAGAUACCGUCGUAGUCUUAACCAUAAACUAUGCCGACUAGGGAUCGGAUGAUGUUAAUUUUUUAAUGACUCAUUCGGCGCCUUACGGGAAACCAAAGUGU
rnacentral:rRNA from 1 species